UACAGAGGGUGCAAGCGUUGUUCGGAAUUAUUGGGCGUAAAGCGCGUGUAGGCGGCUUUGCAAGUCGGGUGUGAAAGCCCUCAGCUCAACUGAGGAAGUGCGCCCGAAACUGCAGAGCUUGAGUACCGGAGAGGGUGGCGGAAUUCCCCAAGUAGAGGUGAAAUUCGUAGAUAUGGGGAGGAACACCGGUGGCGAAGGCGGCCACCUGGACGGUUACUGACGCUGAGACGCAAAAGCGUGGGGAGCAAACAGG
rnacentral:rRNA from 1 species